GCUUAAAGGGGCCGUAGCUUGAUAAUAGGGUCCCUUGAGAAAUCCGCCGGCUUAACUGGCGGGCGUUCAGGGGAAACUUGUUUUCUAGGGACCGGGAGAGGUGAGGGGUACUGCCGGGGUAGGAGUGAAAUCCUGUAAUCCCGGUGGGACCACCUAUGGCGAAGGCAUCUCACCAGAACGGGUCCGACAGUGAGGGACGAAAGCUGGGGGAGCAAACCGGAUUAGAUACCCGGGUAGUCCCAGCUGUAAACUAUGUGCGUUAGGUGUGUCAGUGACCACGUGUCACUGAGGUGCCGAAGGGAAACCGUGAAACGCACCGCCUGGGGAGUACGGUCGCAAGGCUGAAACUUAAAGGAAUUGGCGGGGGAGCACCACAACGGGUGGAGCCUGCGGUUUAAUCGGACUCAACGCCGGGAAUCUCACCGGAUAAGACAGCUGAAUGAUAGUCGGGAUGAAGACUCUACUUGACUAGCUGAGAGGAGGUGCAUGGCCGUCGUCAGUUCGUACUGUGAAGCAUCCUGUUUAGUCAGGCAACGAGCGAGACCCACGCGAGCAGUUGCCAGCUUGACCUUCGGGUUGAUGGGGACACUGCUCGGACCGCCUCUGCUAAAGGGGAGGAAGGACUGGGCAACGGUAGGUCAGCAUGCCCCGAAUUAUCCGGGCUACACGCGGGCUACAAUGGACAGGACAAUGAGUUUCGACACCGAGAGGUGAGGAUAAUCUUCUAACCCCGUCCCAAGUUCGGAUUGCGGGUUGUAACUCACCCGCAUGAAGCUGGAAUCCGUAGUAAUCGCGUUUCAACAUACCGCGGUGAAUAUGUCCCUGCUCCUUGCACUCACCGCCCGU
rnacentral:rRNA from 1 species